rnacentral:rRNA from 1 species
GACGAACGCUGGCGGCGUGCUUAACACAUGCAAGUCGAACGAAGUGGCGAACGGGUGAGUAACGCGUAAUUAACCUGCCCUUCAGAGGGGGACAACAGUUGGAAACGACUGCUAAUACCGCAUACUGAAGGAGGGGAUUGCGUCUGAUUAGCUAGUUGGAGGGGUAACGGCCCACCAAGGCGAUGAUCAGUAGCCGGUCGGAGAGGAGGAACGGCCACAUUGGGACUGGGACACGGCCCAGACUCCUACGGGAGGAAGCAGUGGGGAAUCUUCCGAAAUGGACGAAAGUCUGACGGAGCAACGCCGCGUGAGUGAUGACGGCCUUCGGGUUGUAAAGCUCUGUUAAUCGGGACGCGGUACCGGAAUAGAAAGCCACGGCUAACUACGUGCCAGCCGCCGCGGUAAUUC